rnacentral:rRNA from 1 species
UCGGAAUUACUGGGCGUAAAGCGUGCGCAGGCGGUUUUGUAAGCCAGAGGGGAAAGCCCCGGGCUUAACCUGGGAAUGGCAUUUGGGACUGCAAGGCUGGAGUGUGGCAGAGGAGACUGGAAUUCCCGGUGUAGUGGUGAAAUGCGUAGAUAUCGGGAGGAACACCAGUGGCGAAGGCGGCUUCCUGGCCUGUUCUUGACGCUGAGGCGCGAAAGCUAGGGGAGCAAACGGG